AUGGUUCACAGCGGCUCUGCGUCCCCAAUGAAAGCAUCACCGUCACCUCAUUUAACUGCUCCUGCUCCGGCCCCUCCACCCCAGGCUGCUCCUCCUCUUGUGCCUCCUCGUGGAAAUACUACAGAUCAGGACGUGACCCCUGCCAAACUCCUCGCCACAGACCACACCUCCAACUCGGUCCUAACCCCCGUCGUCCCCGAUGUCCCCGCGACAAAAUCCCUUGGUGCUCCCUUAAGCCGAGCUUCCUCCUGGUCCUCCACUCACUCGCCUUCCGCUACUCUGAGCCAAGUCAAUGGCCGUACGUCAGGGAGGAAGAGGACCCCGAAGGCCUGUGACUGCUGUGGCCCCGGCAGUACAGGACACAGUGUCCCGACCUUGGGCAGGUGGAGGGGCAGAGGGAGAGGGAGAGGAAGGGGGGCUGGAAGGGACCUCAAAGACACCCCGAAAAGGAAAGUGGAGGGCCAGCUGACACACAUCAAGUGUUUCGAUCUGACGACGAAGAAUGUGGUGGAAGCAAAGGACGAUGGCGAUGGCGGCCGCGAGAAGGUGCACACGACUCUAGUAAUGGCUGAUACACCGUCCCAAGCGGAUAUUGCUCCACCUGUCACCGUCUCCCUGCCGGAUGUGCCGCUAAGGAACCAUGUUACUCCAGAGAAAAGGGACACGCAGAAAACGGAGGACCCGUUGGUAGCAGGGUCAGGGAGUAAAGGAGGCGGUCAUAGUGGGGAUGUGGAGAUGAUGGUGUCUACAAUAGCAGGCCGGGGAGCAAAAGUGGGGAGAGGGAGGGGAAUGAUGGGACCGUUGCCUGCAUCAGAUAUGGACGUAGAAGGUGGAACACAGAAGGGAGGUUUAGGUGUUGUUGUCUACGGUUCUAAAAUGGAUGGUGUGUCUCCACUAGUGUUUGUGCAGAGGCAGGGAGAAAACAAAGCUUCAGAUAUGGACCAUGGUGGGCAGGAUGAUCCCAGCUCAAUUCAAUCUUCAUUUGGAAAUGGAGACACGGUAAACCUGAGUGACACCGAACCCGAGGAGGACACAAAGGAGGGUGACGUAAUGAGAGAGAUGGAAAAUGGCCUUCUGGACUCUGACAUGCAGGUGGACGAAAGUCGCGACCAAACAAACUUCCCACUGACUCUGUCCAACGGAAACGUCACCAGUCCAACAAACGCUGCCCACUGCUCCACUCUCAUGGAGGUUGAAGCGUCCCAUCCGGCCGUGGUUGCGCCUCCAUUGCAGGGCCCCGUUACAGUUCUCAGCGUGCAGUACAGCUGGGCAUUAAGAGACCACGGGCUGUACUGUCAACCUGGAACCUGGGUGGGGGCGGCCAUGGAGGCAGCAUCCGAGAAGACAAACGGACAAGAGCUGGGUGGAGAAAAGCAGAACUCUGAGCGGCUGGAGCAGCUCACAGAUAUGAUCCACGGUAAGAUGUGUUCUCAGCUUUGUUGA
ensembl:lncRNA